rnacentral:lncRNA from 1 species
AAUAAUUUAGUAACUGUGACUUGAGGAAACAGCUUGGUCUAAACAUAAGUAAAAGUGCAAAUAUGGUUGUAUUACCUUGAGGAAUAAGUUGAUAAAGGUAUAAAACUUACUCCCUUCCUUUCCUUUUCUUUAUUUUUGUCAUGUUAGCUCGGAAUUAGAUAUCUUCGGAGGCAGCAUCACACUAUUAAGUCAUCACCUUUGGAAUAUGGA